AUUGAACGCUGGCGGCAUGCUUUACACAUGCAAGUCGAACGGUAACAGGCCGCAAGGUGCUGACGAGUGGCGAACGGGUGAGUAAUGCAUCGGAACGUGCCCAGUCGUGGGGGAUAACGCAGCGAAAGCUGCGCUAAUACCGCAUACGAUCUAUGGAUGAAAGCGGGGGACCGUAAGGCCUCGCGCGAUUGGAGCGGCCGAUGUCAGAUUAGGUAGUUGGUGGGGUAAAGGCUCACCAAGCCAACGAUCUGUAGCUGGUCUGAGAGGACGACCAGCCACACUGGGACUGGGACACGGCCCAGACUCCUACGGGAGGCAGCAGUGGGGAAUUUUGGACAAUGGGCGCAAGCCUGAUCCAGCAAUGCCGCGUGCAGGAAGAAGGCCUUCGGGUUGUAAACUGCUUUUGUACGGAACGAAACGGCUCUGGUUAAUACCUGGGGCUAAUGACGGUACCGUAAGAAUAAGCACCGGCUAACUACGUGCCAGCCGCCGCAGUAA
rnacentral:rRNA from 1 species